rnacentral:lncRNA from 1 species
CAGCUGGCAUGAAGUCAGCCAAUCAUAAGACAGCAAAAGCUAUUUCAAGGGUAGCCUCAUUUGGCCUUACUUCUCUCUUUUCUUAUUGAUUUCUGGGGUCCAAGCAAUCCAGGGAAGGGAUCUGUGGCUGCCUCUCUUUGAGUCUUCCUUAGCAGAAAUGCAGGGUGUCCCAGGUGAAGCAAAUUCAGUGCAGUUCUCCUGUGUGAGAGAAGGAGGAA